rnacentral:lncRNA from 1 species
CCUCCCUAGCUCUGAGAAGUGCUCAGAGAUUAAUGGCAGUGCGUGUCCAUUCCAGCCUUGUGGGUCUCCCCCUGAAUGCAGCAAGCUUCCUUUGAAGUCGAUAAAAGGCUGAUGUGUGUGUGUGUGUGAAGGGAAGCAGAGUUCUUGGCCAGGGAGGAGAUGUGUAGAUACUGAGGAAACAGGAGGACAAAAUGAACAGAGUGAUCUCAAGUUGGAAUGACCAUGGAGACGAGCGAUUUCAAUUUCGUUCUCUAACCAGUCAAUUAGUGAAUCACUUAUCUCAUACCUGUUCUACUAAAGUCAUCAGACCACAAUUAAAUGCAGA